rnacentral:rRNA from 1 species
CCUACGGGUGACAGCAGUGGGGAAUAUUGGUCAAUGGGCGCGAGCCUGAACCAGCCAAGUAGCGUGAAGGAUGACUGCCCUACGGGUUGUAAGCUUCUUUUAUAGAGGAACAAAGUGAGGCACGUGUGCCUUUUUGUAUGUGCUUUAUGGAUAAGGAUCGGCUAAAUCCGUGCCAGCGGCCGCGGUAAUACGGAGGAUCCGAGCGUUAUCCGGAUUGAUUGGGUUUAAAGGGAGCGUAGAUGGGUUGUUAAGUCAGUUGUGAAAGUUUGCGGCUCAACCGUAAAAUUGCAAUUGAUACUGGCAGCCUGGAGUACAGGUGAGGUAGGCGGAAUUCGUGGUGUAGCGGUGAAAUGCGUAGAUAUCACGAAGAACUCCGAUUGCGAAGGCAGCCUACUAAACUGUCACUGACAUUGAUGCUCGAAAGUGUGGGUAGCAAACAGGAUUAGAUACCCUAGUAGUC